rfam:Lepisosteus oculatus linkage group LG4, whole genome shotgun sequence.
GCCAGCAGCCAUAUCACUCUGCAACUCACAACUGGCAGCCCAGGUGUGAGCCUGGUCAGUACCUGGAUGAGAGACCUCCUCGGAAAAACUAAGGUUGCUGCUGGAA